AAGCACUGUUCGUGACCUGCCAGUCUCCUGUGGCACGCGGGUUCCAUUCCAGUGCGACAGGAAGUCCAGCGGCCCGUGUGUCCGACUGACUCAUUUGGGCUCUCGGACUAGGGCCUUGGAGACAGCU